AUCCUUUUUGUUGUGCUGCAUUCUUGAAGUCCUUUUAUGCCAGAAAACAUGUAAUUCUUAGUUUAUUAUCCCAGUGUACAAUGUAGUGCUACCUAUACAAAGUUAUUUGACUAUUUAGGCAUAACAUCAAAAUUGCAUACCAAAUCCGACUUUUAUUAUACCCAGCAGGGGUUUGUAUGUAUUCAGGUUAGUAAUGUAUGUUUAGAGAGAUAGGAACUGGUGUGAGACAUGUACUGUAUCGGGGUACUGUUGCCAUAACAAUAAUGUGUGUGUUGGGUUAUAGCAUGUGUGUUAGGUUGUCACGUAUAUUGCCUACAAUUGUGGUAAUCUUAUUUGAUUGCCAGGUCUAGCACUUUAGUCGAGGGAAGUGUUUUCAUUUGCAUCACCUUCCCAUGUUGCCUGUGACUUUGCAGGUUCCUUGCCUUUGGGGUCCCAAGAGAAGUACCGAUCGCUUGUGUGUCCGAAUGGCUUGCAGCAUUUCUGCGAGCUCUGCCCUUACAAGACCAAGAAAAAGGCAACCAUGAUCGCUCACCUGCGCACACACUCAGGGGAACGUCCAUUCAAGUGCCACUUCUGCCCAAAAGUGUUCACCCAAAAUUCCAUCCUCAAGCAACAUGUGUACAGCCACACAGGAGAGCGCCCCCACCAGUGCCACCUGUGCCCUGAAGCAUUCAUUCAGAGUUGCCACCUGACACGCCAUCUGCGUUACCACACGGGAGAGCGUUGCUUUUCCUGUGUGCACUGCAGUGCAUCCUUUUCACGAAAGCGCCAUCUGUCCAAUCACAUGUCCUGGCAUGCAGGGAAGAAGUCCUAAAGGUGGUUUGGAAAUGCGUCAAACACAGUCGGACAACUUCCGGGUUGCAGCCGUAUCGUCUGCCCGGUCCGGUCGAAACAACCUGGCGUGAAGUUCCUCGAACACAUGUGAUCGCCGUCUUCUUGCUUCCAGCCUUCACACCGAACAUCCUGCUUCCACGUGCUUCGCACAUUUGGGUCCUUCGGAAACCUGUUUGGAAAAAACAAUCACCGUCAGAUGUGGAAUUGCCGACAGAUUGCGAGCUGUCAGCAUGUGUUGCGACAGGCAGAGAAGUUUUCAUGAACUUCAAAAUGUGCUACUUACAAGUGAAACCUAAUCCCAGAGUCCUUUUUCGCUCGAUUUGUGCAGCCGUACGCAGUGCACGAUGUCAUUACAACGUCCGGAUGCCACUACACCGACUACACACUGCGGCUGCCGUGGCAGAAGGAGUGCUUUCUGCCAAUGCCAACAUGGCGGCGCGCGGCUUCAGCUCAGGGGCGUCCCCUUUGCUCCAGCAAGUUUUAUUUAAACCUCCUUGGUGCUCACAAACAUAUUUAAAACAGCGCCAAAAAACACGGACAAGAAAGAAUAAGGGACGAGCGCUUACUGCCAACAACACCUUUAUUGAAGCCUGCGCAAAUAUAUACAAUUCGCAAUAGGCAGAGAACAAAAAAGGUGAAAGGGAAGGCGAGCCACUGCGAGUAGAGCUGCUUCCCCCGAAUGCGAAAGGGUAGUUCUGGAGUGUGUUGAAGCACUUCCAUUGGGAACCUCUGGUCCCUGUCGACCCAAGGUAUCAACCGUCGUCGAAUCGCUGCAGAUUAGUGACUGUUAGUCGUGUCAGACAAAGAAGGCGGCUUUGUUGUAUGCCACUCUCAGCAAUAUCACCUUUCCGCAGAAUCCGCUCUCAAAGAAAAUUUCAAAGUUGCCGAUGGGUUCAAUCCUUCCAAGACCGAGAAGUUCGCCAUAGGCAGGAGGGAAGAAUCCGGUCUAGAAAAGUUGUCUAGUGCGAUGAAGCGCUCCAAGGAAAUGUGCCUUUCCGCCUUUUUUACUGUUAAAACUCACAAAAUUGGCAACCCGUGCAGAGUCAUGGUUUCGGAGGUGGGCACUUGGCAGAAGUGCCUCGGGUCCUACCUUUUGGAAGGUCUUAGGCAACUUCCGAUAAAUGACCCGUUUUUAGUACGCAACUCGACAGAGGUGACCAGUUCUUGAAGGAGUCAAGCAUCAAAAGAGCACAGGCAUUCUCGGUAGACAUCAAGGACUUGUAUUAUUCCCUUGCACAAGAUGACCUCUUCGCCGUUGAGAAAGAAGGCAUAGAAACGAUAGGCGAAGUCCGGUUCCAGAACGCAGUUGGCACCAACGUCACCAAUUUCCUGGACUUGCUGCAGGUUUACCUAAGAUCCACCGUUGUAGUGCAUAAUGAAGAGUACUAUGUGCAAAAGAACGGCAUAUGCAUAGGCUCUCGCAUUGCGCCAAUAAUGAGUGAUUUAUUGUUGGCGCACUAUGAUAGUCUCCUCCAGGAACAACUCAGCACAAGAGGGCCUGUGAAAGUGUUUCGUCAUGUUGAUGAUUUUCUGGUGAUCCUCCUUGCCCUCCCUAAUGAAGCUACAGCCCUGUUCGACCAAGUUUUUGAAAAAUUCAGGAGCAUCUAUCGAGGUUUGACGUUCACAAGGGAAUUGCCUGAAAACGGCAAAAUCCGCUUCCUUGACCUUGCACUACACCUCCAGGAGGGGCAUACUUGUUGGAUGUAUGCCCCGCGUUCAAAAAAGCACCUCCUCCCCUACACAUCCAACCAUUCAAAAGUGGUGAAGCGCUCCAUCGCCCUAGGGGCCCUUAGAAAUGCUGUCGUUAGCUCUUGCCCUCUCUUGAUGUCCAGCAGCUUCUCCAAUCAAGUCCAGCGGCUUAAGGCAAGUGGCUACCCUGCACAACUGCUGUCAUCCUUGACGGAAGCUUUAUUGCAAGAGGUUCAUUCCCCCAGGGAACAGCGUGCAGUGGUUGAGGAUUUAACCAAGACUGUUGCGAUCCUGUAUAUACAUGGUGUGUCCCAUCGCAUCAAGAAAGCCGCAGGGCGGGCUGGUGUAAAGGUGGUGUUUUAACAAGUUGGGAAGGCUGUGCAAAAAAAGUCGACGAUAGCCGGCGAACACCUGGACUGUGCAAUAAGCGACAUGUCGCCAAGCCUGUAGAUUGCAAUACCAAUGUAGUGUAUUCAAUUCCCACCUCUUGUGGCUGCACUUACAUAGGGCAAACGGGACGUUGUAUUAAUGAUCAUUUGCAUGAGAAUGCGUACUGUGUCAAGAUUAAGACUGGCAGUAAUCUUGCUGUUCAUUGUGCAAAGUGUGGGUGUUCACCACUCCUAGAUAACACACGUGUGUUAAGAAGGUACAGCGAUCAGAUGGCCAGGGAAAUUUUUUAGGCCUUUUCUAUGUGUCAGUUAGGAGCCACCUGUGUAAGUGCCCCAUC